rnacentral:lncRNA from 1 species
AAACAAAAUGCACUCUUCCUUCUCCCCUCCGCCCCCCCGUCCCCGCCCCUUUCUUCCUCUUCCCUCAUCUCUGUCACCUUCGAUUGGGCUAAAAGAGGCCCAAUCCGCUAUCUCAAACAUCCAUUGGGACGCGGAAACUUCGCUCAGAGAAGUAUUAACAGGCGAUUGGUGGACAAUCCUUCCACUUCGCCCACCCCCACAACCCCCUCCCCCCGCCGCACCUUCACCCUUUCUGAAAAGGUCAAUCGUAUCUCGUUGUUCAGUGAUCCGGGAGGUGGAAGGCUAUUGGUUCAGGGAGCCCGUCAGACCGGACUGGAGUGAGCCAUGAUUGGUCGACACAGGCGCAAUCAGAGUCAAGAAAACUUUGCUUUUGACUUAUUUACAGCUAGUCACAAUUGAGUGAAGUAUACUCCUGUAAACAAAUUUGGAUUUCUCUCUCUCAAUCUGAUUUCUCCAGAAUGUGGAAACUAUUUAAACAGACUGCAGAUUGAAUUCCUACAUAGGCUAUUCCAGAAUUCUUACGAGACUUGCAUUAGGACAUCAGCAACAGAAGCAAGAUUAUUUCUAAAAGUCAAUAAAGGAUAUCCCAGAGGAAUUGAGGAAAAAUGGGAUGAGGACUUCAGUAAAACAUACUUUGGUGACAAACAUUUUGAUAUAAAAUUUUGUAAAAGCACACACAUCCUGAUGGGAAGAGGAUGAGUAAUUUCUUUUUAAUUCAGAGCAAGUGUUCUAAUCUGGCUGAAAUUCUGGGAAGUGCUGGAAAUCCCCAAAGCAAAGUGCCAGAUGCCAUUUCUGGAUCCUGGAUACGUGGGCUUGGUUGCUAAGAUGAUGAUGCCUCCUCCCCUUCACCACAUUCAGCUGACGCCUGAGCGACAGGGAGUUGAUGUACGCAGAGCACGGAUCUAACAAUGUCAACUGUGCUGACAUCAUCCUAGCUGUGCAGGGCUGAUGGGAAUUCAGAAUAUCAAACAUCAUAUCAAGGGCAGUGAGCAGGUAUCAUCUAGUGAACUGUUCAGAUGCAACUGAAUUGAAAAGGAGCUGAACAAAAGAUCCUGAGAGAGACUUCAACAAAAAGUAAAAUGGAUUUUAUCAUACUUGAAAAAUCAACAAUUGCAGUCUGGAUUCAUACAUCACUGUCUGAUGCACCCAACUUGAGUCAAAAAGAUGUUUCAAAUCCCACUAGGCUGGAGGCAAAAAUACUCAAGAGUUUAAGAGCGUCUCUUGACAGUGUACAGAAUAAGAUAGCUUCUCAGCUUUCAGCUUUACUUCACGGUUUUAACUAUCAAAAGAAGCAAGCCAUCUGAAGAUUUGCCUGAGACUGAAGGAUCCACUUCUGCGACGACUCCCUCAGGACUUAUAAUGCAGAUGGAACCAGAUUGAGAAAAACCAGCCAACCAACCAACCAACAUGAUGGCUGAACCAGACAAGAGAAGUCCCGAAGUAAAAUACCCACCAAUUACCAGAAUCUGUGCCUGCCAUACAUCGAAGAAAAUUCAACAGCAAUACAAAUUAACCUUUGGAAAAUCUUUCCUGGGUUUUAUGUUUGUGUGAAAUGCCCCUUUACUAAACUGGAAGAUGUGUAAGAUGGAAGAAGAGGUUCUGCUGGAUAUGGAGAAAUUGGAACCCUUGUACAUGUGGAAAUGUAAAAUGGUGCAUUAGGAAAACAGUUUCAACGGUCCUCAAAGUGGUAAACAUAGAGUUACCAUAUGACUGAGAAAUUUUACUCCCAGGUAUAUACCCAAGAUAAAUAAAAACAUGUUCAUAUAAAACUCAUAUAUAUAUGUCCAUGGCAGCUUUAUUUAUAGUUGCCAAAAUGUCUCUUGUGACUGGCUUCUUUCACUCAACAUGAUGUGUUCAAGGUCCAUUAGUAUUGGAACUUAACUCGUCUUUAUUGUUAAACGAUAUUCCACUGUAUGGACAUAUCCUCAUUUUAUUUACCCAUUCAUCAGUUGAUGGACAUUUGGGGUUUUUCCAUGUUUUGGCAGUGUGUGCAUUGUGUGUGUUGUGUGAGGGAAAGGGAUAGAAUGAAAGUGAUAUUAAGAUUAAGUGACAUAAUGUAUGUAAUAUUUCUAGCAGAGUUCCUGGGACAUGGCAGAUAUGUUAUUAUUUUAUUACUAUUGUUAUAAUUUCCUUUAUCUAGGAGAGCACAGCUUCAUUGCCAGAUGUAACUUUUAUUUAGACUAAGGAAUCAGUUAAGAUAACCAUAAGAUACUCUUGGUCUUGAACUCUGCCAUGCCUAAACAAAAAUUAUCUUCUUUGCCUUGGAAAAUUAUUACUUUAGUGAAAUAAAUUGUUUUCUUUCUAAAUUUGCAAAGUAUUAUUUUUUACACUAUAAU